UACGAAGGGGGCUAGCGUUGCUCGGAAUCACUGGGCGUAAAGGGUGCGUAGGCGGGUCUUUAAGUCAGGGGUGAAAUCCUGGAGCUCAACUCCAGAACUGCCCUUGAUACUGAAGAUCUUGAGUUCGGGAGAGGUGAGUGGAACUCCGAGUGUAGAGGUGAAAUUCGUAGAUAUUCGGAAGAACACCAGUGGCGAAGGCGGCUCACUGGUCCGGUACUGACGCUGAGGUGCGAAAGCGUGGGGAGCGAACAGG
rnacentral:rRNA from 1 species